GUCAUGUGGCCGGCUGAUCACAUGACUGCUCCUGUCCUGCACCGACUGAGCCGGCGGCCGCUGCCCGCGGAUGAGAGGGUUCAUAGGCUCAACAGGAAUACCAUGGGGAUGUCCUAAAGCAGUAUCCCGUAAGAGAGGGGACACUCCUGAGCAGGAAGGAGAACCAGUCGCCCAAAUACAGCAUCCUGGGAGGUAAAGGUAUUGAAUGAAUAGAAAUGGAUGAAAGUAUGGACUGAAGACCACGUGGCUGCUCUGCACAACUGUUCGGCAGAUGCUCCACGACUAGGCACCCAUGAAGGCCCCACAGACUGAGUGGAAUGAUCCUUGAGCACCACAGGAACAGGGUAUGAUGCGCCAACGUCUCCCACGGCGAGAGCGCGAUAAGGAGAAGGGCUGACAAGGCUGAUGUUAUCCUGACGCCAUAUUUUGGAUCCACUGCCUCACUCUUAGUAAUCAUCUUUCCCUGUCUCUGCAAUGAGCAGCUCCCGAGUGUCCUCUGAGAUCCAUGAAAUUGUGUCAUCUGCUAUA